UGUAAGCGUAUACCAAAGUUGUUGCAGUUAAAACGCUCGUAGUCGAAAUUUGGCAGUUCCGGAUGUGUGCACGUCGUGUGCGCACUUCGCGGGGAUUGCUUUUGUGGUCUUGCGUAGGAUGAGGCACUUUUAUUAGUGAACGUCCUCACGCAACCACUUUUUACUGUGAGAAAAUCAGAGUGCUCAAAGCAGGCAUUUGCCGUGAAUGUAUUAGCAUGGAAUAAUAGAAUAGGACUUGGUUCUAUUUUGUUGGUUUGUUGGGACUGAGUAAUGAUUAAGAGGGACAGUUGGGGGCAUUUGUAUUUCGGUGCUAGAGGUGAAAUUCUUAGAUUACCGAAAGACAAACUGCUGCGAAAGCGUCUGCCAAGGAUGUUUUCAUUGA
rnacentral:rRNA from 1 species